rnacentral:rRNA from 1 species
UACGGAGGGUGCAAGCGUUAAUCGGAAUUACUGGGCGUAAAGCGCACGCAGGUGGCUGAGUCAGUCGAUUGUGAAAGCCCUGGGCUUAACCUGGGAAUUGCAGUCGAUACUACUCAGCUAGAGUAUGGGAGAGGGCAGUGGAAUUCCCGGUGUAGCGGUGAAAUGCGUAGAUAUCGGGAGGAACAUCAGUGGCGAAGGCGGCUGCCUGGCCCAAUACUGACACUCAGGUGCGACGAGCGUGGGGAGCAAACAGGG